AAUCCGCUGCAUGAGCCGAAAGCGUGACGCGGAGCGAAAUGAAAGUAGCGAAGCAUGUGAGCCCUGUGCCGAGAAAAGCCGCUAUCGCUUUAUAUGUGCCCGUACCGUAAACCGACACAGGUGGAUGAGGAGAGAAUCCUAAGGCCGGCGGAAGAAGUAUUGUUAAGGAACUCGGCAAGAUGACCCCGUAACUUCGGGAGAAGGGGUGCCCACGGGAGUGGGCCGCAGAGAAUAGGCUCAAGCAACUGUUUAGCAAAAACACAGGUCUAUGCGAAACCGAAAGGUGAAGUAUAUGGGCUGACGCCUGCCCGGUGCUGGAAGGUUAAGAGGAGAGGUUAGAGCAAUCGAAGCUUUGAAUUUAAGCCCCAGUAAACGGCGGCCGUAACGAUAACGGUCCUAAGGUAGCGAAAUUCCUUGUCGGGUAAGUUCCGACCCGCACGAAAGGCGUAAUGAUUUGAGCACUGUCUCGACAAUACAUCCGGUGAAAUUGAAGUACCAGUGAAGAUGCUGGUUACCCGCGCCAGGACGGAAAGACCCCAUGGAGCUUUACUCCAGUUUGGUACUGGGAUUCGGUACUGCACGUACAGGAUAGGUGGGAGACUUUGAAACUUGAACGCCAGUUUGAGUGGAGUCGCUGUUGGGAUACCACCCCUGCAGUAUUGGAUUUCUAACCAGUCACCGUGAUCCGGUGAUGGGACAAUGCCAGGCGGGGAGUUUGACUGGGGCGGUCGCCUCCGAAAGGGUAUCGGAGGCGCUCAAAGGUUCCCUCAGAAUGGUCGGAAACCAUUUUCAGAGUGCAAAGGCAGAAGGGAGCUUGACUGCGACACCGGCGGGUGGAGCAGGUAGGAAACUAGGACUUAGUGAUCCGGUGGCAUAAAGUGGGAUUGCCAUCGCUCAACGGAUAAAAGCUACCCUGGGAUAACAGGCUUAUCACUCCCAAGAGUUCACAUCGACGGAGUGGUUUGGCACCUCGAUGUCGGCUCAUCGCAUCCUGGGGCUGUAGCAGGUCCCAAGGGUUGGGCUGUUCGCCCAUUAAAGCGGUACGCGAGCUGGGUUCAGAACGUCGUGAGACAGUUCGGUCCCUAUCCGGCGCGGGCGGAGGAUAUUUGAGAGGAGCUGUCCUUAGUACGAGAGGACCGGGAUGGACGGACCACUGGUGUAUCUGCUGUCGACCAACGGCAUGGCAGAGUAGCCAAGUCCGGAAGGGAUAAACGCUGAAGGCAUCUAAGCGUGAAGCCCCCCUCAAGAUGAGAUAUCCCUCACAAAAGUGAGUAAGAUCCCUUGAAGACUACAAGGUAGAUAGGGCAGAGGUGGAAGUGUGGCAACACAUGGAGCUGACUGUUACUAAUCGAUCGAGGGCUUGACC
rnacentral:rRNA from 1 species